UCUGCCUGAUACCUUACCAUUUAGAAUUCAGCUUCAAUGUCACCUAAUUAAACAGCCUCCCUUGAACACGCAAGCCUCCCCUGAACACCCUUGAACACCAAGCUUACCCAAGCUAAGGUAGUUGCUGCCAUUCUCAUCACUUUACCCUAGUUUACUUCUCCUCAUAGUCUAUAUAUUUACUGGAAAUGUUUUACUUAUUUGAUUCCUUCUUGCUUUAACUCCCCUUGUCUAGAACAUGAGUUCUAUGAGAGCAGGGACCUUAUCUGCUUGCAUCCAACUGGUCUCCAAGUACCUGGAAGAGGUCUCAGCCAUUGAAAGCAAACAAUAAGCCCUCACUUCAGUGAAGAACUCCCCCAAUUCCAGUUCUGAUGAUUUCUGUGAAGAACAAACUGUUAUCAAGCAUGCUUUCCCACCCCCAUUCUCCUGGCUCAACAUACAUCAGGGGAAUGAGCUAACUCCUUUUGUACUUCAAGGCCUGGUAUCCAUCAAUUACUGGUGCCAUCAAAACCAUAGCAAGCAGGAAAAAAGAAUACACCUGUUUGUAUCCAAGCCUGUGCUUUUCAGAAGUCUAGAUGGCUCUAUCCUUAAGUGAUUGGAAAAUCGUUCCAGCUCUGACACCUCUCCACUCACCGCCCACCAGCUAUUCUCAACUCUUCUAUCAGUUAUUGCCUCUACCAUGAAGUUGAUAACAAUGGACUCACAUUUACAAGUUUAUUUUACACACGUUUCCCUUUUGUAUAUAUACUUUUAUUGUUUUCAUUUUAAGAAAAAAGAUUAAGAGCUAGGUUUUCCUACUUCUUUUUAUUGCCCAUGGUGUCUAGCACAAAGCUACACACAAACUAGGGACACUAUAAACAUUGAUGGAAAAGACAAUAUAUAGGAAGGAGAGAGAGGGACAAAAUAUAGAAACAGGGAAGGAAAAAAGGGAGGAAGGGAGGAAGGAAGUUCAAAAUAUAUUCCUGCAACACCAAGACUAAAGGGAAACCAGCAAGUCCCUUAUAACAAUGACUUGUCUUCAUUCAGUGCAAACAGAUGCAUUCCUAACCGUGGUUAUUCUCUGUGCUACUGUGAGCAACGUGCAUUUCUAGACCGAAGAGUCCAGGCAGGCUGGACUGUAUCAGGGUUCAUCUUAUAUUAGCUACUUAAGACAAGCAAUGUGCCUUUCUAUUUGGAAAAUCUUAGAAGCCCCCCAACUGAAUAAAGGAUGAAAGGCAAUUUGUUUAAAAAUAAGGAGUGCUUUCACCAGGGACUGCUUUCUCCAAGAGAACUAAGUUUCUUCACAAACAACUACAACACAGAGGUUCUUUUCUAAACCAAAAGCCUUACUGCUGCCUGAGUCUGUGCCUUCUCUUGACUAGUGUAAGAAAAAUAAGGAUUUUCCAUUUUUUUAUAAGUUUGAUUUGCAAAUAGGAUGAGUGUUUAUCAGAUGAAAAGUGUUGCUUCCCUGUUGAUAUCAAGUUAAGCAUCUCCAAUGAAAAAAAAAUAGCAUCUUUUCUCAAAUGUUGAUGCUUUGUGUUUAUAACAGGGUUCUAUAUCAGAUUGAAAAAACACAAAAUUUUGUAAUUUAUGUCUAUUUCUUUAUACUACAUGAAAAGUGGAGAUUUAAGUAAAAUCACUUAAAUAUGAUCAUCUAUUUUUCUCUUUACCCUUCAACCAUUAAUGAAAUUGUUUCUUCAUGUAACUCUGAUUUUAUUAAUUCAUUUGUAUGCAUACGAAUUGCAUUUAUUAUUUAAUGAGUAGUUACUAUAUGAAACUAACAGUAUGUAAGAGCUGGGAAAAUAAAUAAAAAGACAAAAUUCAACACUCCUUCAUGAUUAAAACACCAAACAAAUAGGAAUUGAAGGGCACUUACUCAGCCUGAUAAAGGCCAUCUACAAAAAGCUCAUAACUAACAGCACAUGCAAGGGUGAAAGAAUAGAGUUUUUCCCUCUAAGAUCAGGAAAAAGAAAAGGAUAUCUUCUCUAACUACUUCUAUUCAACACUGUGCUAUAGGUUCUCAUCAGAGCAAUUAGGCCAGAAAUAAGAUAGCCUCCAGAUUAGAAAGGGAGAAGUAAAGCUAUCUUUAUUUGCUCAU